AGGGGUUUCCAGGCCAAGACUUUGGGGUUGACUGUGGCAUCUACAUGUUGAUGUUAGACAUGCCGAAAUUGUGGAAAUGGUGGUGCCUGCUGCUAAUGGAAAACUUCGAUCUCCGAAGUUAUGGGAAGGUAUUUGCACACUGGACAAAGGAAUCAGAGGCUGUGCUGAGAGGUGAACAUGCACCUGUAUUCAGACUAAGAAAGCGCAAAUCUGUGGAACUUAGCCUGAAACCAGCAGAAGGGAUAUGCUGGAUGGAGACAACAUAGAAUCCAAGGAGCCAUUCCUCUUUGGUUUUCAGGUCCAAGAGGACAUGGAAUUAUUUUUACAGGCCUGUGUUGACCAGCGGGGCCUUCGGGUUAAUGCUGUCUGUUAUAAGAAUGAUUAAAUUACUGGCACAUGAGUGUGUUGAUUGAUUAUUAUUUUUUUAUUUCAUCCUGUUUGUUGUUGCCGUCUAAAUAAAUUUAACAGUUGAUUAAAUAUAAUUAUUACAUGUCGAUCAUCAUUUAUACA